GCGAGUGUAGUACAAUGGUAGUACAUCAGCUUCCCAAGCUGGCUACGGGGGUUCGAUUCCCCUCACUCGCUCCA
rnacentral:tRNA from 1 species